rnacentral:rRNA from 1 species
GUGCCAGCCGCCGCGGUACUACCGGCAGCUCGAGUGAUGUCCACUAUUAUUGGACCUAAAGCGUCCGUAGCUGGCCGUUCAAGUUCGUCGGGAAAUCCACCUGCCCAGCAGGUGGGCGUCCGGCGAAAACUGAAUGGCUUGGAACCGGAAGGCUCAGAGAGUACGUCCGGGGUAGGAGUGAAAUCCCGUAAUCCCGGACGGACUACCGAUGGCGAAAGCACUCUGAGAAGACGGAUUCGACAGUGAGGGACGAAAGCUAGGGUCUCGAACCGGAUUAGAUACCCUGGUAGUCC